AUACGGAGGGUGCAAGCGUUGUUCGGAAUCACUGGGCGUAAAGGGCGCGCAGGCGGUUUGGUAAGUCAGAUGUGAAAGCCCACGGCUCAACCGUGGAAGUGCAUUUGAAACUGCCAGACUUGAGUACCAGAGGGGAAAGUGGAAUUCCCGGUGUAGAGGUGAAAUUCGUAGAUAUCGGGAGGAAUACCGGUGGCGAAGGCGACUUUCUGGCUGGAUACUGACGCUGAGGCGCGAAAGCGUGGGGAGCAAACAGGAUUAGAUACCCGAGUAGUCC
rnacentral:rRNA from 1 species